CAGCCGCCACGGUAAAACCAGCAGCCCAAGUGGUGGUCGCGUUUAUUGGGCCUAAAGCGCUCGUAGCCUGACCGGUAAGUUCCCCGUGAAAUCGGGUCGCCCAACGAUUCGGCUUGCGGGGAAUACUGUCGGUCUUGGGGCCGGGAGACGCCGAGGGUACUCCGGGGGUAGUGGUGAAAUGCUGUAAUCCUCGGGGGACUACCAGUGGCGAAGGCGCUCGGCGAUAACGGGCCUGACGGUGAGGGGCGAAAGCUGGGGGCGCGAACGGGAUUAGAUACCCCUGUAGUCCCUGUCUCUUAUA
rnacentral:rRNA from 1 species